CUGAAGUUCUCCAGGUGACAUCUUUGAUGGUAUCUCCAAGUACUUGCCGGGUUGGGGCGCUGAUGUUCCUGGUGUUGUACGUUGUGACAUUAGGCGAUUUUUCCAUGACCGAGAAGAUGGCCUGGUUCGAGUACCUCAACAUGCACUCGGCAUUCCAAAUCACAGUGACUCGCUGCUUGGGCCAUCUAUGGAAGAUAUCCUGUUUUCCAGUGGCCACACAGUUACUGCACGUGGCGGUGUCAAGGUUGCCAUGGCAGAGGAAGAGUCCGUCAGCCAGGUCGGGAAAGAUUUGGCCGAUAGUGGCGUUGGCGAAGCCAUAAGUGCUGUUGGUGGCGGCGGAGGAGAGGGAAGAGAGGAGGAUGUUGAGGUUGGAUUGGUAGGUGGAGUUGGGAGCGAAGAGCGUGGUGUCCGGGCAAUCAUGCUGUAUAUAAGUAGGUGCAGCUUCUGUAGUAUGACUGUAAUUGCUGAGAAAAUUGAGAAAGAAGAAGAGGGCGAGGAAGAUGAUGAAGCCAAAAUUCAUGGUCUGAUGAUCCUAGUUUUGCUUCCGGGACUGAGCAUAAGAAAAAUUGUCGAAAGAAGAAGAGUUAUGCUGCUCAGUU